UCCAUCUUGGCCAUAGGGACGGGCAACCCCAGCAACGUGGUGGAGCAGAGCACGUUCCCAGACUUCUACUUCCGUGUCACCAACAGUGACCACAAGCAGCACCUCAAGGACAAGUUCAGGCGCAUAUGUGAGAAAUCGACCAUCAAGAAGCGGCACCUCUACAUCGACGUGGCACUGCUGGCUGCUAAUCCUGAGAUGACCACCUACAUGGCGCCUACUUUGGACAUUCGCCAGGCCAUCAUCUCCGAGAAGGUCCCGGAACUCGCCGCCGCUGCGGCCACCGCCGCGCUCAAGGAGUGGGGAGGUCCGCUCGAGGACAUCACCCACCUCAUUGGCUCCACCAGCGGCGGCAGUGACAUGCCCGGCGCCGACUACCACAUCAUACGGCUCCUCGGGCUCUCUCCCUCCGUCCGCCGUGUCGCACUAUACCACCAGGGCUGCUUUGUCGGCGCGGCGGUGCUGCGCCUGGCGAAGGACCUCGCCGAGAACAACGGUGGGGCACGCGUGCUGGCCGUCUGCGUCGAGACCAACCUCAUGUACUUCCGCGGCGUCGACGACGCCCACAUGGACAACCUGGUCUGCCAGGCCCUCUUCGGAGACGGGGCUUCCACCGUCGUCGCCGGGGCCGACGCUGACCCGGCCACAGAGAAGCAGCUGUUUGACAUCGUGCACGCGACGCAGCACCUCAUCCCGGAGACCGGCGGCGCCAUACAGGGACUCAUGCGGGAGGUGGGCCUGACCUUCGGCCUCAUCAGCGAGGUCCCGUCGCUGAUCGCCAAAAAUAUCGAGGCCGGCCUCCAGGAUAUGCUCGACGGCUCCGGCGUCGCAAUCACCGAUAGGAACUCCCUGUUCUGGGCGGUGCAUCCAGGGGGGCGCGCGAUCCUCGACAAGGUGGAGGCGGCGCUGGGACUUAAACCGGAGAAGAUGCGGGCAUCACGCAAGGUGCUGGCCGAGUACGGGAAUAUGGGCAGCGCGUGCGCGUGGUUCGUCCUCGACGAGUUGCGACGGUGGUCCGCCGCCGAGGGAUGCAGCACCAACGGAGAGGGGUGCGAGUGGGGCGUGCUCUUUGGCUUCGGCCCGGGGCUCACCAUGGACACCGUAUUGCUACGUAGCGCACACAUCUCCCUCCGUUUCUAA
rnacentral:rRNA from 1 species